CUCAACUGUUUGCUUCCUUCCGCCAUCAUAAGUUUCUCCUUCCUUGAGUCUGUAGUGUGUACUGGGAUGCGAAAGGCUCUAGAUGUCAGAUGCCUCCCUUCAUUCUUCAGGCUGCAAGCUUCCAGCCUAUGACGUCGGGAUUUAAAGUGCCAAGAAAAGAGAGGAACCCUCCCACCCCAAGUGCCACCUGUGAGAGUAAUGGAAGAGCUGUCAGCCCAUGCCCAGGCACACACAAACUGGGAUCUCAGAAGUGAAGAGAAACAGGUAAGAAAAGUGAAUCCAUGGUUCAUCCUCCACCUAAAAACUGAGGGGUAUGAGAAGCCAACCAUGGAUCAGAGGAACUGCGAAAGAAUGAAACUUUGAUGAGAAUCAAUUCUCUGGGACUUAAA